rnacentral:tRNA from 1 species
AUUUAAAUAAUUUAAUUAAAAUUUUGAUUUGUGGAAUCAAAUAUAUAUAUAUAUUAUAACUU